AUGCCGCUGCAGCACAAGAGGCGCGGCGGCCGUCGCGCAGGGGCCUCCCGCCGGCGCCGCGGCGACGACGCCGCGUCGCUGCCAGGGCUCCCCUUCGAAUCGUCGGACGGAAGCAGCAGCAGUGACAGCGAAACGAGUUCCGGUGACCACGGCACGUGCGCGUCGCCGUCCGGAUCCCUCGACGAGCCCCCGGGCACCGGGCGGGCUUACCAGUCGAGGUACCAUGAGAUCCUCGCCUCACGCCUCGCCGAACUGCAGCUACCAGCCGGUGCCGACGACGAUGGCGGCCCAAAUCUCCCUUCUGAUGAAACUGUCGAAGCCCUUGUUCGUACUACUUUCUACGAUGACGAGCUGCGGGCAGCUCUUGUAGAAUAUCAAGCCAACAUGUUGCUUAGCGGACCAGAUGUCCAGGGACGAGAUGGAGAUUCUGGAGAGGACUCCGGCGAUGAUAUCGCCGAGGAGGAAUUCGUCAAGUACUCCGAAGAGCUGAAGGCUCGCAGCAGUGCUGAAAUUGAUACAGACACUAGACUGAAUCAAGAGCAGUUCAACUGGCUCCAUGCCAAGUAUGUUCGUUAUCGCAUCAAAGCUUGCCUGUUGUUGAAAGGAAAGCAUAUCGAUGAGCUAGACGACGCUACAUUGGAACUCAAGUACCCUAUUGAGCUUGCCUUGGGGGAUAAAGACUUAUCCCCUUACCUGGAUGAUGGUGCCUUUGGCUGGUAUUUCGACUCCGACCUCUGUUUACUUGCGUCCUUGAGCGAUUACCAGCGGCUAGUCCUUCCUAACUCUACUUGGAGUGAGUAUGAAAGCUUGAGUCAAUACAUAGCGUUUUAUAACAACCCUGAAGUUGAUAGAGAUUAUGUGCAAUACUGGGAAAAGAUGGUCAAGGAAAUUAAGUGGCUUGAAAAUCAUGUGCUUAAAGAAGAUACUCCGGAGUGGGAUCAAAUCUGUCGUAAGGGUUUAUACCAAGCAAUUAGGAUUGCUGCAGAGUUCCCCAACAUUGAUUUCAGUCUAGCAUAUUAUGGUUUCAUGGAGUAUAUAUGGAGGACUCGCUUUUAUGUCGUGUCUGUGAAAGGUCUUGACCAUGCCUAUUUUGAGAUUUGGAAGCGGGUUACUGGCCAGCAGAUGUGUUUCAGAGAUGCUCUGCAGGAAGUUUGCAAUGAGAAUUUGGUUCCAUCGCGCCAACACACUUUGAAGGCCGAGCUGCAGCGACCUGGAGGCUUUUUGCAACUGGAGCGACAAUUUCACCGGUGCACAGAGGGCAUUAGUAAGGAAGUCCCGGAUUGGAUAGCCCAAGAGUUGAUUUCGCAAGAAGUUAGAUUCAAGCGCGCUUUGCCAAAGACAUAUGCGCAGUACGCGAGGAAGAAGCUCAAGGUUGCAGAAGCCAUAGGAUUGAUUCCCAAGGCCAAGGCCUAG
rnacentral:rRNA from 1 species